rnacentral:rRNA from 1 species
GAGUGGCAAACGGGUGAGUAAUACAUCGGAACGUGCCCAGUCGUGGGGGAUAACGUAGCGAAAGUUACGCUAAUACCGCAUACGACCUACGGGUGAAAGCGGGGGACCGAAAGGCCUCGCGCUAUUGGAGCGGCCGAUGGCUGAUUAGGUAGUUGGUGGGGUAAAGGCCUACCAAGCCGACGAUCAGUAGCUGGUCUGAGAGGACGAUCAGCCACACUGGAACUGAGACACGGUCCAGACUCC